rnacentral:rRNA from 1 species
UACGAUGGAGGGCUAGCGUUGCUCGGAAUUACUGGGCGUAAAGCGCACGUAGGCGGAUUGUUAAGUCGGGGUGAAAUCCUGGAGCUCAACUCCAGAACUGCCUUCGAUACUGGCGAUCUCGAGUUCGGGAGAGGUGAGUGGAACUGCGAGUGUAGAGGUGAAAUUCGUAGAUAUUCGCAAGAACACCAGUGGCGAAGGCGGCUCACUGGCCCGAUACUGACGCUGAGGUGCGAAAGCGUGGGGAGCAAACAGG